rnacentral:lncRNA from 1 species
GGGGUGAGAGGGAGAAACCUGCCGCGGCUCUCCGCCUCUUUGUCUGCUCUGGGACUUGGAACAAAAGGGGAAACUCUGAUGAACUCCUUCUCCAGCUCCCUGGACGCCCGAGUAUCUCUUUCUCGCAACUUUGUCAACGCGACUUUCUCCGCUGUCAGGCUGCGCAAAAGUAUCCUAGCGCCUCGCAGGCUGCAACAAUGGAAACAAUGUCCCUUCAAAGUGCGACGAAGUGGAGGGAGAAGGUGUCAUACCAGCGACUCCAAGAGUCAUGUCACCCACUUAGCAGGAGUACUUCUACUGAAAUGCCUUCGAAUUUCUCUUACUGGAUAUAUACCUACCAGCCGCUAGCAUGAAGAUGCCAGGACCGCUGCAAGUUAGCACUGGACAAAGUAGCAUCAACUUCUUCAUUUAGAGUUUCUUCAGUUAAAUUGCUGGGAUUUUCGACAAGGCUUUCCUUAUGUGGAUUAUUGGAGUGUGAUGCCCGAGAAUUCUCUACUUGUAGAAGCACGCCCACGGGACUGCAGAAGCCUUCACACCCACCCAGCACGCUCAGAAAGUACUGUCUUCAACCUUACCAAUGUCAGUGGCGGCGACGGUGGCGUCACCAUCACCAUCAGAGAAAAAGAAAUAUGCCUUUAUGUCAUGGGUUGAUGGCCUAACACUGGCUUAACACUCAUGUCGGCUGCACUAAUUGAAGUCACAUCCAAGUGGGUCAAUGCACUGAACAUAUCUGAUAUAGAAGGUCCCAGAUCCUGAAUUUUUAUCAAUGGUUUGCUGUAUAAGGCUUGCCUCCCAAAUAGCUGAGGACCCUUAUUUGGGAAGAUACGUUCUGAUGGUUAAGCAACAGCACAGAUGUCGAUGGGAAUGAGUGAUGGCCAUCCAGUGACCAGCUGGAUCUGACUGCCUUACAAGACGCAUGUGUAUGAUUAAGAGAGAGACAUUCGUGACUCCCAGAUGUACCUCCUUCCUGUCCCACAGUGUUCCUGAAGGGAGUGAGUUAUGGGGUAACUUAUAACACAGCAGGCUCUUCCUCAAGAUAGCUCUUGUCAAAACAGGAAGACGAAACUCGGGUUUCCAUGAGGAGACCACAGCUUGGGAUCCUGUCUGGAUGUACAAGCAGAAGCAUCUUCAUACUUUUCCAUUUCUAACCAUCAUGCCUCACCCCACCCUCCCAAGGCGACAUCUGCAGAGAGGAGAAUGAGGAGGAAGAGGAGGAGAAAGAGGAGGAGGAAGUAAGACAGAGGGGGACAAGAGGACCAAGAGGGCACAUGGCUGAGGAGGAGGAGAACAACAACAACAACAACAACAACAACAACAACAAGAAGCUUGGUGGACUCUGGAAUUGGCUAAAGAGAUGAUGACAAACCUUCUCCAGCCAGUGGCCAUGGAUUAGACUUUUUCAGGAUGUGUUCCUGAGUCUCGUGAGUAGCACAUGGCAGUUGUUGUCACCUUGGGCUGAGCCGUGAAGAUUCUCACCCUCCCUUGUUGGGGAUGAACUCCGGGAUUCUAAGGAGAGGUCAGCAGGUGUUUCACAGACUGUUCCUGUUGGAGGAUUUGUCUGAUACUCUUCUCCUGAUUAGUCUGGGCUCUACAUUUCCCCAAGGGUGAAACUUGGAAGCCCUCUCCAGGAUGCAGCAGGUAGCUGAGGAGAAAACGAAGACUGACCAGCCCAGAGCUCAGAGCUUCCUCCCAUGCUCAGGAUUUACCACCAAUGCCAUUACAUCGGCCUCUUCUUGUAUGCCUCUGGAAACCACAUGUGUCCUCUGUUUGUAAUGGUUUGGCUAUGGUUGCUGGCCCCUCUUGGACAUUGUUUUCAGAACUUAAAGAAACAUUGCUUUAAAGAUUUAUUAGAACAUAUUUAAAAUAAAACCAUCUUCUCAUUUAGUAU